AGUGAACGCUGGCGGUAGGCCUAACACAUGCAAGUCGAACGGCAGCACAGUAAGAGCUUGCUCUUACGGGUGGCGAGUGGCGGACGGGUGAGGAAUACAUCGGAAUCUACUUUUUCGUGGGGGAUAACGUAGGGAAACUUACGCUAAUACCGCAUACGACCUACGGGUGAAAGCAGGGGAUCUUCGGACCUUGCGCGAUUGAAUGAGCCGAUGUCGGAUUAGCUAGUUGGCGGGGUAAAGGCCCACCAAGGCGACGAUCCGUAGCUGGUCUGAGAGGAUGAUCCGCCACACUGGAACUAAGACACGGGCCAGACUCCUACGGGAGGCAGCAGGGGGGAAUAUUGGACAAGGGGCGCAAGCCUGAUCCAGCCAUACCGGGUGGGUGAAGAAGGCCUUCGGGUUGUAAAGCCCUUUUGUUGGGAAAGAAAAGCAGCAGGUUAAACCCCCGCUGUUCUGACGGUACCCAAAGAAUAAGCACCGGCUAACUUCGU
rnacentral:rRNA from 1 species